rnacentral:lncRNA from 1 species
GCACCAUUGUCUAUACCAAACCACGAAUGCAAUAAAAAAUGUAUUCAACAUUUUUAUGGUGAUAAUAAACUCAUUGCACCAUUGUCUAUACCAAACCACGAAUGCAAUAAAAAGUGUAUUCAGGAUUUCAAGCGCCGAACUUUCUUAUUGACUAUAUUAAAAUUUGAACAUUCUAUUCUUGGGGCAUUCUUCAAGCUUCAAGUAUCGAUUGCACCAUUCAUUUCAACAGAUCACAGCAAAAAGAGACCUCAGACACAAUUAUACCUGCGAGCGAGUUGGAAAAGGGUUCCUCGUAUGAGCUAGAAACCAUGAAGAGAGUCAACACUAGAUUUGGGCCGUCGAUAGUGGCUCAUAUCAACUACAAAAAUGAGACUCGACCACACUAUACAACAUUGGAAGUUGUCGGUAAUUUUGGGCCCUUCAAAAUCAACGGAUACCGCGGGGGGGAAAAAAUGAGUGUCUCAAAGAACUACGCCACUUCAUAGCAAAUAAUCCCGCGCAGCUAUAUGAGGCGGUUCGACGAAAUUCACCGUUUGACUUAAGCAAGGAAGUGAAAUUUUGCAAUGUGUCGUCCUCUAUCCUACAACAAUUAUUAGUUCCUACCACACAUUCCUACCUUGCCAACAAAGGCCUACCAAAGGCCAUUCCAAACAAUCCUGAGCAACUUUUCGAGGCAGUUCGAGCUAACUCACCGAUCAUAUUAAGUAAGGAGAUAAAAUUUUGUCUCCUUCAAAUAUCAGAAGAGUUUUCAAUUUCUAUUAUACCAUCCACCGAGGAGAAUUAUAUUUCAUUGACUAUUGAUAUCGGUGAUCGUUUUAAAAUUACAUUUGUCAAUAGCUAUCGAUUCCUCCAGUCCUCCCUCAGCAAUCUCGCAAAAACCAUCCCUGAUACGGCGUUCAUUCGUACGAGAAAUUUGUGCAAAACCGACGAGCAGUUCAAAUUGGCACAGCAAAAAUUCAUUUUUCCGUACGAUUUUGUGGACGCACCGUCAAAAUUGAAUAUGACCGAGCCGCCUCCUCGAACCGCCUCUUAUAAUCAACUCACUGAUACAGAUGUCAGUGACGACGAUUAUAAAAGGUUUUGUUUGGCGCGGCGAACGUUUGAAUUCAAAAAUUUAAAAGAAUACUCUAUGUUCUAUCUUAAUUUAACGUUCUUACGUGUGUCUUCUCUCAGAUAUUUUCACAGAAUUUCGAGCUUUUAUUAUUGAACAAAAUGGGUUGGACAGCGCACACAGUUUGACCCUCCCCAGUUUCGCGUACGACGCGGCCCUAAAAAUGACGAAGGCUAGGAUUAAACUACUUAGCGACGGUGACAUGGUUUUAAUGAUUCGAAGUUCGGUUCGCAGGGGGGAUCACCCAAGGUGUUCACCGGUUCGCGCAAGCGAACAACCCAUUAUAUCCCAAUACGUAUAGACCUUCGGAGCCCAUCUCGUAUAUUCAAUAUCUAGAUGUAGCCGCACUUUACGGUCAUACAAUGUGUCGUCCUCUGUGAUAGAGAGCUCCCCGCGUCGCCCUCUAUCCCGUUAACUCAUCAGAGGGCACCAAGCACGGUUCAUCUGCCCGCCGUAUUGACAGCUCGAAUUCAUUUUCUCCCUUACAUCCCUGUAACUGCGCAGGCAGAUCAACCCUGGGGCGCCCACUAUAAAACACCGAUUAGCCGCUGCUCCGAUCGCAGUUCAGAUUUCAUCCCUUAACCUUUUUAGAGUUUUCUCCCCGACGCUCGUCGCCACCUUCGCCCAGCCACGUACGGCUCAUCGCUCGCUCGAUCUCUCGUCCUGCCACGAACGGCUAUAGCUAUCCUCACACGGUGAGUUCUUAUCCUCGCCUGGCAGGCCCUUACUUGCACGGCAAAACACUUCGGUACUCGGUACCAUAUAUCAGCGUACGACGCUCGCCCGCCAAGUGUGUGUGUUCUACUUAGUAGCUUUCACUUGUAGUUCUCUCACUUGUAGUUCUUUCACUUGUAGUUCUCUCACUUGUAGUUCUUUCACUUGUAGUUCUUUCACUUGUAGUUCUCUCACCUUGUAGUUCUAUCAUUAUAUCUUAGCCAUCGAUCAGUUGCGUUUUCUUAGUUUUCCCUCACUCUCGUGAGAAGGUGGUUGCUGAUCCUGGACUAGCCCGGAUCGGCUCCCAACACCUCUACCCUACGAUGAUUAUAAAUGGGUAGAUAAGGACGAAUUCGUAUCGUUGGAAAAGAAUAUCACAUUCGUCCCCGACGACGCCCAUGAAGGCUUCAUUGUUGAUUGCGAUUUAAUUUAUUCAGAGCAUUUGUAUGACCAUCAUCCCGAUGGAAAAAAUUCUAAUUUUUUUUUUUUUUUUUUUUUUUUUAGAAAGAAAAUUGGAUAAUUGAAAAAUAUAGAGGUAGUAUAGAAUACGUGAAUGAUGGAGGUAAUUUAGAGAAGAUUAAAGAAAGUAGAAUGUAGCUAUACACGUAAGGAGGUUGUUUGGCGAUCGCCAGAGAAAUGAGAAAAGGAAGAAUAUUGAAGAGAACGAUAGGAGUGAGAAGACAGGAUGGUGAAUGACCUGCGCUAUCAUCUGCUCUAUCAUUGGGUAUCCACGAAAUGUUUGAUUUUGUUAACUAAUCUUAAAAAUAGUUGUCACACAUAAUUAUGUAUUUAUAUGGGAGGGCUAUCAAUGUGGUUGUGAUGCUAUAAAUCAGAAUUUACUUUCACUUCUACCGCAAGCUACUCCAGAUAGGGUUUCGGGUGUGACAAACCCGCGGAGCUGAGUCAACUUAUACCUAGCGACCUCGCACUGGACUCAAAUUUGAUGAUUUUGUCGGGAUGAAAAAGAAAAAAACGUAAGGUCAAAUUAAAAUGUCACUUUCACACUCAUUGCAGUGGCUCUGCUGGAAGUCAGAAUCCCUGCAGGUCAGGAGUGUCUUCUAAGAGUCUGCCGCGACCUCUGGCUCUGCCUCGCGAUGGUCGAGGGGCUGGUUGUGCCCAUGCUUGAGCCGUUUUUCGAUUGAUAUGGCUUAAAGUACCAUAUUUUUCUUUCACACUCAUUGCAAAGGCUCUGCUGGAAGUCAACAUCCCUGCAGGUGCUUGAGCAAUAAAAGACUUUGUUGCAUCCAGCACAUAGGUUAAUCCGAUUUAAAGCAACGAUCUUGGUCUCAUUUUUACCUCCAUUCCUAUGAGCAGAUGCGGAAACUCCAACGGGUUCACUCUUGCCUUUCGCCUGCAGACUCUAGCACGAGCGAGUUCCUCAACACUACUUCAAAGACCAGCGUCGAAUUUUAAGUCCAUCGCAAAACUGCUCAAAUGAAAAUGUCACUUUCACACUCAUUGCAGUGGCUCUGCUGGAAGUCAGCAUCCCUGCAGGUCAGGAGUGUCUUCCAGGAGUCUGCCGCGACCUCUGGCUCUGCCUCGCGAUGGUCGAGGGGCUGGUUGUGCCCAUGCUUGAGCAGUUUUUUCAAUUGAUAUGGCUUAAAGUACCACAUUUUUCUUUCACACUCAUUGCAGUGGCUCUGCUGGAAGUCAACAUACCUGCAGGUGCUUGAGCAAUAAAAGACUUUGUUGCAUCCAGCACAUGGGUUAAUAGGACCGAUCAGAAACCAAAUAAUAUCACAUAUGGAAAGACGAACUAACGGCGGCUACUCACUUGUCAACUUGUCACAUACAACAAAGAGAGUUCAACUGUCAGUUGGUUUUCUAUGGAAUUUUGCGAAGCACUUACGUGUUCGAAAAGCUCAGUGUCUUCCAGGAGUCUGCCGCGACCUCUGACUCUGCCUCGCGCUAGUCGAGAGGCUGGUUGUGCCCAUGCUUGAGCCGUUUUUUCGAUUGAUAUGUCUUAAAGUACCACUUCUUUCUGUUAGGUAUACGGAAAUGGGGACAGUCCCCAAGAGAGUGGCGAGGGCCAUAGAACAGACAGGUUGGAGGCUGCUCUUCACACGAAUCGAUGACCCCAGCUUAUUCUGGGCUUAUGGGCGUAUAUAGGCUUCGCUGUUUUCUUUUU